AGUGAGUUCUGCAGUCUGAUUCAAUCUUUUCCACUGGACACUUUCAGCAGGGGAAAGUAAUUGCUUUUGAAUUUUCAGAGAAAUUUCUUUGACUUUAGACUUUGACUGUCUUCCAUGAGACGAACACAAUGGAUUGGAUGAUCUCAACUACAUUUUUCCUUUCAGUGUUAAAAGCUGCACUUUGUUUCAACAUUGACCCUCUGGCUUGGAAGUCCCUGCAGAAUCCUGCUGCAGGUUUUGGCUACCAGGUGGUGCAAAGACGAUCAGAUUUGCUCGUCAGUGCCCCUCUUCAACAGUAUUCAGGACAUCGAAGGGGUCAGAUAUUUAGGUGCACCACUGAGAGAUGCCAACGUCUGCAAGUUCCAG